rnacentral:rRNA from 1 species
CCUACGGGAGACAGCAGUGGGGAAUAUUGGGCAAUGGGCGCAAGCCUGACCCAGCAACGCCGCGUGAAGGAAGAAGGCUUUCGGGUUGUAAACUUCUUUUAUCAGGGACGAAGCAAGUGACGGUACCUGAUGAAUAAGCCACGGCUAACUACGUGCCAGCAGCAGCGGUAAUACGGAGGUGGCAAGCGUUAUCCGGAUUUACUGGGUGUAAAGGGCGUGUAGGCGGGAGUGCAAGUCAGAUGUGAAAACUAUGGGCUCAACCCAUAGCCUGCAUUUGAAACUGUACUUCUUGAGUACUGGGGAGGCAGACGGAAUGCCUAGUGUAGCGGUGAAAUGCGUAGAUAUUAGGAGGAACACCAGUGGCGAAGGCGGUCUGCUGGACAGCAACUGACGCUGAGGCGCGAAAGCGUGGGGAGCAAACAGGAUUAGAUACCCGAGUAGUC